GAGAUCAAAAAAAUGGAAGAAAACAAUCACAAAGAAAAAUAGACCGAAAAGUAUUUCUCAAUUUUCUACUUUAUUUAUUUAUUUCAGUCUAGUAUAAUCCAUCUUCCUUCAUCCAUUG
rnacentral:ribozyme from 14 species